rnacentral:lncRNA from 13 species
UUGCUCAGUCUGAGUGGAUUCAUCCUCUUUCUACUGCUCAGUCUGAGUGGAUUCAUCCUCUUUCUAUUGCUCCGUCUGAGUGGAUUCAUCCUCUUUCUAUUGCUCCGUCUGAGAGUGGAUUCAUCCUCUUUCUAUUGCUCUGUCUGAGUGUUUUUAUCCUCUUCUAUUGCCCAGUGAUAGCUCAUUAUUUUAACGUUCAGUAUGAUGAUGUACUGAUAUUUUAGGAUACAGUAUCUUCCAUUUUGGAUUGGUUGUGGGGUCCUGUUUUGAGCGUUUUGUAAUAGAUUAGGUGAUGAACAAAUAUCUGAUAGUUUGAUUACUCAAUAUACCAGAUAUCCAUCACAACAGUGUUCAAGACAUAGACGAAUCACUAACUUGUCUCUCUUUCUCUCACAGAUAUCGAGCAGGAGAAGAAAGCUGAAGGAGGCUCCAAAUGAAACACCAGGGUUCCUCUCCUCCAGUCGUCGUUCUGCUUCUUUGCAUUUCACCAUGUUAAUGAAUCACAAUGGCAUUGACUCUGAUGCUGUGGGGUUAGGGGUGCAUGAUUAGUAAAGGGAAGGCCAGUACGAUUUUAACCGUCAAUGUUUUUGAAUUAUGCUGUUUCAUGCAGUCUUGGUUGGAAAGGGGUAAACUAAGAUCAAGAUGGAUAAGAUAUGGUGUUUGUUGAAAAAAAGGAAGAACUGAGCAUGUUGUGUUUGUGUCAAUGACAUAUAAUACUGUCUCCAUCAACAGUUAGUUCCACUGUCAACUAUGCCCAAUGUUCUGCCUGUACACAGUGCCAUUCUGGAUAAGUUCUGUAACAAUAACAUGAGAGAAGAUAUUUUUGUUUUAAUAAAAUGAGUGUUUUAGUCUUGUCUUAUUUUUUUUUAAACUUAAGCAAUAAGAUAAGUGUAAUCUUGUGAUAUUUUUGUCAUUAUAUUGAGUAUACAAUCCUAUUUAAGAACAUUAUUUUAAAGACUUAUGUAUGAGUGAUUAUUAGCUAGUUUCAUGUACUGGCAGAGCUCAUUCAGGACAGGUUGAAGUGUAAUCUGAGGCACAUACCAACCAGUGACUGUGAAUGACAUAUGAAUGGACAAAGCCAUUGAUCACGUGGCACUAUCCGUUCCUAUGUGAAGAAUCAAUAGCGGAUUGAAGCAAAAUUAAGUCUGUUAAGAUGGCGUCUCAUGGAGACAUAACAUGCGCAGUUUGAGCUACUCCAGGAAGUGACUUUGCAGGCUAGCCCCCCUCUCAUUGAGUAACUCAAGUUGAAGGCCGACCGGGGGACUGCAGAUUGUCAUUAGUAACUAAAUUAUCCUUAUAACUUGUUCUGUGUUCAAUUUUUAAAUAAUCAGUUCAAGGACAUACAUCUGGUGUAUAGAAGCAAUUAUUUGGACCAUGAUUGUCUUCUAAACCUGAUUUUAUUUACACAAAGAUUGACCACGAAAAUUGAAAUUUUUCCAUUCACUAUAAUCAUGGGGGAUCCUGUUUACUGCAAACAAUGCCUGGUGUUGCACAAUACGUAGCUAAUCAGCUGUGGAUGCUACUGUAAGGUGCUGGUGUUGCACAAUACGUAGCUAAUCAGCUGUGGAUGCUACUGUAAGGUGCUGGUGUUGCACAAUACGUAGCUAAUCAGCUGUGGAUGCUACUGUAAGGUGCUGGUGUUGCACAAUACGUAGCUAAUCAGCUGUGGAUGCUACUGUAAGGUGCUGGUGUUGCACAAUACGUGGCUAAUCAGCUGUGGAUGNNNNNNNNNNGUUCAAUUUUUAAAUAAUCAGUUCAAGGACAUACAUCUGGUGUAUAGAAGCAAUUAUUUGGACCAUGAUUGUCUUCUAAACCUGAUUUUAUUUACACAAAGAUUGACCACGAAAAUUGAAAUUUUUCCAUUCACUAUAAUCAUGGGGGAUCCUGUUUACUGCAAACAAUGCCUGGUGUUGCACAAUACGUAGCUAAUCAGCUGUGGAUGCUACUGUAAGGUGCUGGUGUUGCACAAUACGUAGCUAAUCAGCUGUGGAU